CUGGCCUUUGGGAAACAGAGAAAACCUAGGACUCUGAAGUGAGUGUCACAGGAAUGGACCUGGGAAUAGAAUUAUUAUCCAGAAUAAACUCCUCCACCCCAUGAUCCUAGAUCUUUUCUCUCCAAGGCAAGUGCCUGACUAACUUUCUCCAUUCAGAGCAUGAUACCACUAAUGAAGCAAAACGAAGUAUCUAGCUUUAGAGAGAUGGAGUAAAUAAAGGUUUCCACUGUGUCACAGGAGACACUCCUAGAAAAGGCAUUCUCGAAACUGGUCAGUGUAAGGAAAGCUGUUUAGAGGUAGGCCAUGGCAGUUCUCAGAGAAAUCAUCAUUAUGCCGUCCCUGAAAAAUCUCUUGUAUCCUGGAGAGCCUUAGCUUCUUCUGUGAUGUCACAAGUGUUGUUGUGACAGCAACUGCCUCUCAGAUAUUCCUUCAGUACCUCUAGGGUUUACUAAUUGGCCUCUAAUUCAGAGUAAACAUCAAUUUGGGAUGGUGAACAAAGAGGAUGAAGAGAUCAGAAAUGGGGAGAAUGAAGGAAGCUGGCCUUCUCUCUUGAAGAUUCCUGUUACCGCGCGUCGUUCUUGCUGGCGGGACAUUGGGCGCUCGAUAUGUGGUGCCGAAACCCAGAAACCAACAUCACCAGUGCCGAGGGGACCCUUCAGUGUGCUGAAGAGGAUUCAGAACUGCGAGAAGCUUCUUAUUGUUGGAGUGAAGAUCAGAUGAUUUGAACUAAAUUUGUGAGAAAUACCACCUGCACUCAGAAGAUAAGAAACAGAGAAAGAUAAGCAAUAAUGUAUGCUAUGGAACAAUGAACUGGGAGAUAGUAUUCUAUGGAAUAUAUAGAACAAUAAAUUUGACCUGUCUGUUACUGGUAA